CCAACGCGGGGAGGAGACUCGGGAUCCCGCCUCCCCGCGACCCCAGGGGCGGGCACUCUGCUGAGUGGCAGGAGAGUAAGCCAAUAGGGCUGCGGAGGCGGCCGGGGGCGGGGCUUCCCCAGGGCGCGCUCGGACUCGCAAGAGGGCUAGCGGGCCAGAAGCUGGCCGCAAGUUUCAGCCCUGCCCGGGGUUUGCUGAGCGCGCAUCUGUGGGGCCUUAUCACCUUCCUCACCGUCUGCGCUGAGAGGCCUGGCCUCGUGUGAGGAGACUAGCAGAAUCUCGUUACUGCCACCACCAUUCUCUCACAUGCUUUUUAUCGCUAUAAUUCCGACUGGACUUCCUGAUCCAAGAUGUGCAUCUUCCAGCAGGCCCACUGAGGUCUACAGUGGUUGGUGCUAAAUGGCAUGGAUUAAAGCACCCCACAGAUACCAUUUACUAUGGCUGGAUCAGAGGAGCAGGCCUGACUUACAAGCCUUGUCCACUUAUGCUCACUUGUUACUGUACUUAAUGGAGGGACCUAGAGAAAAGGUAAGAUAGAAGAUGUCAACUAAAGAGUCCUGCCCACAU